UAGGGAAUCUUCGGCAAUGGGGGGAACCCUGACCGAGCAACGCCGCGUGCGUGAAGAAGGUCUUCGGAUCGUAAAGCUCUGUUGUUAAGGAAGAACGAGUGUGAGAAUGGAAAGUUCAUGCUGUGACGGUACUUAACCAGAAAGGGACGGCUAACUACGUGCCAGCAGCCGCGGUAAUACGUAGGUCCCGAGCGUUGUCCGGAUUUAUUGGGCGUAAAGCGAGCGCAGGCGGUUAGAAAAGUCUGAAGUGAAAGGCAGUGGCUCAACCAUUGUAGGCUUUGGAAACUGUUUAACUUGAGUGGAGAAGGGGGGGGUGGAAUUCCAUGUGUAGCGGUGAAAUGCGUAGAUAUAUGGAGGAACACCGGUGGCGAAAGCGGCUCUCUGGUCUGUAACGGACGCUGGGGCUCGAAAGCGUGGGGAGCAAACAGG
rnacentral:rRNA from 1 species